rnacentral:rRNA from 1 species
AACACGUGAGAAAUCUGCCUUCAACACUGGGAUAACUCCGGGAAACCGGGGCUAAUACCGGAUACGAGACCUGCAGGCAUCUGCGGGUCUGGAAAGUUUUUCGGUUGAAGAUGAUCUCGCGGCCUAUCAGCUUGUUGGUGAGGUAAUGGCUCACCAAGGCGACGACGGGUAGCCGGCCUGAGAGGGCGACCGGCCACACUGGGACUGAGACACGGCCCAGACUCCUACGGGAGGCAGCAGUGGGGAAUAUUGGGCAAUGGAGGAAACUCUGACCCAGCGACGCCGCGUGCGGGAUGAAGGCCUUCGGGUUGUAAACCGCUUUCAGCAGGGAAGAAGCGAAAGUGACGGUACCUGCAGAAGAAGCACCGGCUAACUAUGUGCCAGCAGCCGCGGUAAUACAUAGGGUGCAAGCGUUGUCCGGAAUUAUUGGGCGUAAAGAGCUCGUAGGUGGUUCGUCACGUCGGAUGUGAAACUCUGGGGCUUAACCCCAGACCUGCAUUCGAUACGGGCGAGCUUGAGUAUGGUAGGGGAGUCUGGAAUUCCUGGUGUAGCGGUGGAAUGCGCAGAUAUCAGGAGGAACACCAAUGGCGAAGGCAGGACUCUGGGCCAUUACUGACACUGAGGAGCGAAAGCGUGGGGAGCGAACAGGAUUAGAUACCCUGGUAGUCCACGCCGUAAAC